CCUACGGGAGGCAGCAGUAGGGAAUUUUGCGCAAUGGGCGAAAGCCUGACGCAGCAACGCCGCGUGAUCGAGACGCCCUUCGGGGUGUAAAGAUCUGUCAGUGGGGACGAAACUUGACGGUACCCACAGAGGAAGCACCGGCUAACUCCGUGCCAGCAGACGCGGUAAUACGGGGGGUGCAAGCGUUGUCCGGAAUCAUUGGGCGGAACGGGUUCGUAGGCUGCACGUAAAGGCCGGUGUUAAAGGCAGAGGCUCAACUUCGGUAAUGCAUUGGAUACUUGCGAGCUAGAAUGCGGUGGAGGUACAGUGAAUGCCUGGUGUAUCCGUGAAAUACUGAGAUUGCAUGACGAACAUCGGUG
rnacentral:rRNA from 1 species